GAGCGUUUGAUCCUGGCUCAGGACGAACGCUGGCGGCGUGCUUAACACAUGCAAGUCGAGCGAUGAAAUCCCUUCGGGGAUGGAUUAGCGGCGGACGGGUGAGUAACACGUGGGCAACCUGCCUCAAAGUGGGGGAUAGCCUUCCGAAAGGAAGAUUAAUACCGCAUAACAUUAGUUUUUCACAUGAAUUACUAAUUAAAGGAGUAAUCCGCUUUGAGAUGGGCCCGCGGCGCAUUAGCUAGUUGGUGAGGUAACGGCUCACCAAGGCCACGAUGCGUAGCCGACCUGAGAGGGUGAUCGGCCACAUUGGAACUGAGACACGGUCCAGACUCCUACGGGAGGCAGCAGUGGGGAAUAUUGCACAAUGGGCGAAAGCCUGAUGCAGCAACGCCGCGUGAGUGAUGAAGGCCUUCGGGUUGUAAAGCUCUGUCUUUGGGGACGAUAAUGACGGUACCCAAGGAGGAAGCCACGGCUAACUACGUGCCAGCAGCCGCGGUAAUACGUAGGUGGCGAGCGUUGUCCGGAUUUACUGGGCGUAAAGGAUGCGUAGGCGGAUGUUUAAGUCAGAUGUGAAAAUCCCGAGCUUAACUUGGGAACUGCAUUUGAAACUGGAUAUCUAGAGU
rnacentral:rRNA from 1 species